GUGAAUCAUCGAAUUUUUGAACGCAAAUUGCACUCUCCGGUGUUCCGGGAUAGUAUGCCUGUUUGAUUGUCUGUUUAAAAAAUAAUCGAGGCUGCUGCUUUGUUUGCGCUUCGGAAUUGGGUCAUCUUCCACAUUUCGUUGUUGUAAGCGACCUAAAAUUUUUCUUACGAUUUCUACUAACGUUUCUAAGAAUUUCUUGUCCGUACGCGAAAUCGAAAUCAUAUUA
rnacentral:misc_RNA from 1 species